UACGUAGGGACCAAGCGUUUGUUCGGAUUUACUGGGCGUAAAGGGCGCGUAGGCGGCGUGGUAAGUCACUUGUGAAAUCUCUGAGCUUAACUCAGAACGGCCAAGUGAUACUGCUGUGCUAGAGUGCAGAAGGGGCAAUCGGAAUUCUUGGUGUAGCGGUGAAAUGCGUAGAUAUCAAGAGGAACACCUGGAGGUGAAGACGGGUUGCUGGGCUGACACUGACGGCUGAGAAGCGAAAGCGUGGGGGAGCGAAACAGG
rnacentral:rRNA from 1 species